UGGCGGACGGGUGAGUAACGCGUGGAUAACCUGCCGUAUACUGGGGGAUAACACUUAGAAAUAGGUGCUAAUACCGCAUAAGCGCACAGUCUCGCAUGAGACGGUGUGAAAAACUCCGGUGGUAUACGAUGGAUCCGCGUCUGAUUAGCUUGUUGGCGGGGUAACAGCCCACCAAGGCGACGAUCAGUAGCCGGCCUGAGGGGGUGAACGGCCACAUUGGGACUGAGACACGGCCCAAACUCCUACGGAAGGCAGCAG
rnacentral:rRNA from 1 species